rnacentral:rRNA from 1 species
AGCGAACGCUGGCGGCAGGCCUAACACAUGCAAGUCGAACGAACUCUUCGGAGUUAGUGGCGGACGGGUGAGGACCACGUGGGAACGUGCCCUUUGGUUCGGAAUCACUCACGGCAACUUGUGCUAAUACCGCUUGUGCCCUUCGGGGGAAAGAUUUAUCGCCAUUAGAGCGGCCCGCGUGUGUUUAGCUAGUGGGUUAGGUAACGGGUCGCCAAGGCUACGAUCGGGAGCUUGUCUGAGCGGAUGAACAGCCACACUGGGACUGGGACACGACCCAGACGCCUACGAGAGGCAGCAGUGGGUGAUCUAGCGCAAUGGGCGAGAUGCUGAGGCAGCGAGGCCGGGAGAAUGAUGAAGGUGUUAGGAUUGUAAAAUUCUUUCACCGAGGACGAUAAUGACGGUACCCGGAGAAGAAGCCCCGGCUAACUUCGUG